GCGGAGGGUUUGAGGCAGGCCCAAGAGCGAGCCCAUGGUCUUCCGACGCGGGGCCAGGGGCGGGCCCCAGGAUCCGGAGCUUCGUGCGGGGCCGAGUCCAGGUUUGGGGCCCGGGAGGCGGGGCCAGUUAGGGCGACUGUCCCUGGGAUCGUCGGGUCAGGCCUUGGGCUAACGUAGGCACUCUCGCAGUUCCUCCGCCUUCAGGAAGGUCUUUUCAGCAGGGGCCUUACGGGUGCAUGCUUCGGUCCUGGAGGCCUUAUCCUAGCCUCCUCUCCAUCAGCGCCACCCGUCUGGGGCCCGAAAGGAGGGAGCUUUCCCUCUGUCCCCCAGCCUUUGGACUGUCACCAAACAAGCCAUUCGUUCAUCAAAUACUUUUUAAGCGCCUACCAUGUGCCUGACAAGGGAGAUGUAACGGUGAGAAAAACUAGGUGUGGUCCAGGCCCUUCAGGGGCUCAGGUGCUCGUGGAAGAAGUGGACAUUGAAGUACUUAUCACACAAAUGAGGAUAAAAGUACGAUAGCGAUAUCUACCACGAAGCUGUUGUUCCCCACCAGAACCAAAUGAGCGCAAGAUCUGACAAAGAAAAAAAAAGGUUCAUCUUUUAUUCCUCCAAACACUUUCAUUUAAAUCAAGAGGAUGGGAUGUGGUUAUUGCUGUGUUUUUAGACAGAAUCAACGGUUUCUGGGUCUGAGAUGUUGCAUACACCUUCUCAGUCCCUGUAUCCUGAGAUGGAGUCACCUGAGAAUCCACAGCAAGUCCUAACCAGGGAUGGGUCUGGGUGAUUAAGGAAGGUUGGCUUCAGAACUGGGCCAGGGGCACUGCUUUGCUUUUGCUGUUUUGAUCAGCUCUCUGCCUGAAGGAGACAAGAAAAACCAACGGGAACAGCCCAGUAAAGGCGCCAUUCCCCAUUUUACAGCUGGGGAAACUGAGUUACAGAGCUUGUCUGCACUGAGUCAUCAGGAGCAAAUGCUAGAUCAGAUAGGGUCUCUCUCUCUGCCACCCAGGCCAGAGUGCAGUUGACGCAGGGCAGGGGAGCCCCGAAGUGGAGCAUAGUGUGUCCGGAACUGGUGGGUUCUUGGUCUCACUGACUUCAAGAAAGAAGCCGCGGACCCUCGCGAAACUCCUGGAGGGCAGAGGCAUGCCUGCCAUCUUCAUCAUUGCAUUACCACCACCCAACACUAUCGGGGGACCUGCCCUGAUAAUCAGAAAUGCAUAGGAAUAUGCUGGUGCCUGAAUGUACCAUCCGGGGACCUGGAGAUUGACUCACCUGCCUCCAGAGCUGGUGCUCACACUUACUACUGAGAGGCCUGAGGAAACGCCUGCCUACCCACCACCAGAACCUGUAUAGGUCACCUGGAGAACUAGAGAUCAGCCUGCCACACACACCACCCAGGAGCCCAGUGGUGCACCUGCCCAUCUGGCCCACUGCCAGCAACCAAAGAAGCCACCUGGAGUCCCAGGGAUUGGCCCACACAGACAGGCUAUCAUCAGUGCCCACAAACGCUGCCCAUGGUCCCUAGUAUUGACACACCUGGUCCACCGCCACUACCACUGAUGCUGAAGGACAAGACUUCCUGGCAUCCCCAUCCUCAGCAAAGCCUCACCAAAGCCUCCAAUAACAACUGCAGUCUGGCCAAGUGUGGUGGCUCACGCCUGUAAUCCCAGCACUUUGAGAUGCCGAGGCGUGUAGAUCACGAGGUCAGGAGUUCGAGAGCAGCCUGGCCAACAUGGUGAAACCCCGUCUCUACUAAAAAUACAAAAUUUAGCUGGGCAUGGUUGCACGUGCCUAUAGUCCCAGCUACUCAGGAGGCUGAGGCAGGAGAAUUGGUUGAACACGGGAGGCAGAGGAUACAGUGAGCUGAGAUUGUGCCACUGCACUCCAGCCUGGUGACAGAGCUAGACUCCAUCUCAACAACCACCAAAAAAAACCACUGCAGUCUAAGCCACUGAAUGACUCACAGGCACCACCCAUGCCAAUUACAGCUGAAGGAAUCAUAUGCAAACUAUACUACUGUACCCACCCAGAAUCAAAGCCAAAGUGUGAUAUCCAAUGAACACUGUAGAUACAGCUGUAAGAAAAGGUCUUUCCCAUAUAAAAGCCAAUCCAUAAAAUUGGAAGAAAUGACUGUUAUGUCAGAGGCACAGAUAGUCACAUAAGGAUGCAAGAAAUAUGAAAAAGGAAACAUAACAUCUCAAAGAAGCACAAUAAUUCUCCAGCAACAGAUCCAAUGAAAAGAAAAUCUAUGAAAUACCUGAAAAAAAUUCAGAAUGAUGUUAUUAAAGAAACUCAGGGAGAUACAAGAGAACACAGAUAAUGAAUACAAAAAAAAAAAACAAAAACAGGAAAACUAUUCAUGAUCUGAAUGACAAAUUCAACAGAGAUAGACAGCAUAACAAAGAACCAAACACAAAUCCUGGAAGAGAAUAAAUCAUUGAAAUAAAUACAAAAGAUAAUUGACAGCUUUAACAAUAGACUAGAUCAAGCAAAACAAAGAAUUUCUGAACCUGAAGACUAGUCUUUUAAAAUAAUCCAGUCAGACAAAAAGAAAGAAAAAAGAAUGAAGCAAGGCUACAUGACAUAUGGGACACAUAUGUGACCAAAAACUGAAAUUCUGGGAGUUCUGGAUGGAGAUGAGAUGGGUAAAGGCAUAGAAAACCUAUUUAAUGAACUAAUAACUGAAAACUUCCUGAAUGCUUCCAAAUGCAGGAAGCUCAAAGAUUACCAAGUAAAUACAACUCAAAAUGGUCUUCUCCAAGGCACAAUAUGGUAAAAUUGUCAAAAGACAAAGAGAAAAUGCUAAAAACAGCAAGAGAAAGGCAUCAAGUCACUUAUAAGAGAAUCUCCAUCAGGCUAACGGGGAAUUUCUCAGCAGAAACCUUACUGGCUAGGAGAAAAGGGGAUGUAUAUUACAAGUACAAAAAAAAAAAAUAAUAAAAAAAUGUAAGCCAAAAAUACUCUACCCAGCAAAGCUAUCCUUCACAAAUGAAGGAGCCUGGCACAGUGGCUCACAUCUGCAAUUCCAGAGACUCAAGGCUGAGGCAGGAGGACCAUUUGAUCCCAGGAGUUCAAGGCUGCAGUGAGCUAUGAUCAUGCCACUGUACUCCAGCCUGGGUGACAGAGUGAGACUCCAUUGCUAAAAAAAAAAAUAGUAAUAAUAAAAGGGAAAAAAGUAUUUCCCAGAUAAGCAAAAGACUGUUUGUUUGUGUCUUGUUUGUUGUGGUCCUAUAAGAAAUGUUUAAGGGAGUCCUACAUUGGGAAGUGAAAGAACAAUAUCUACCAUCAUGAAAAUACAUGAAAGUAUAAAACUCACUGGUAGUUCAGACACACAAAGAAGAAAGGAUUCAAACAUCACCACUAAAGAAAACCACCAAACUGCAACCAUAAAUAAUGAGAGAAAAAAGGAACAAAGGUGUAUUAGUCUGUUUUCACACUGCUGAUAAAGACAUACCUGACUGAGACUGAGCAAUUUACAAAAGAAAGAGGUUUAAUGGACUUACACUUCCACAUAGCUGAGGAAGCCUAAGAAUCACGUUGGAAGGCAAGAAGAAGCAAGUCAUGUCUCACAUGGAUGGCAGCAAUCAAAGAUAGAGCUUCUGCAGAGAAACUACCCUUUUCAAAACCAUCAGACCUUGUGAGACUUAUUCACUAUCAUGAGAACAGCAUGGGAAAGACCUGCCCCCAUGACUCAAUUACUUCCCACCAGGUCCCUCCCACAACAUGUGGGAAUUCAAGAUGAGACUUGGGUGGGGACACAACCAAACCAUAUCAUUCUGCCCCUGGCCCUUCCCAAAUCUCAUAUCCUCACAUUUUGAAACCAAUCAUGCCUUCCCAACAGUCCCCCAAAGUCUUAACUAAGUUCAGCAUUAACUCAAAAGUCCACAGUCCAAAGUCUCAUUUGAGACAAGGCAAAUCCCUUCUGCCUAUGAGCAUGUAAAAUCAAAAACUAGUUAGUUACUUCCUAGAUACAAUGUGGGUAUAGGCAUUGGGUAAAUACAGUCAUUCCAAAUGGCAGAAAAUUGCCAAACAAAGGGGCUACAGGACCCAUGCAAGCCCAAAAUCCAGUGGGGCAGUGAAAUCUCAAAGCUCCAAAAUGAUCUCCUUUGACUCCAUGUCUGACAUGCAGGUCAUACUGAUGUAUGACCAUGGCCUUGGGAGAAAAAAGGCCACAGCUCCACUCCUGUGGCUUUGUAUGGUUUAACCCCCCUCCUGGCUCCUUUCACGGGUUGGCAUUGAGUGUCUGCAGCUUUUCCAGGCACACAGUGCAAGCUGUCAGUGAAUCCACCAUUCUGGGGUCUGGAGGAUGGUGGCCCUCUUCUCAAAGCUCCACUAGGUGGCGCUGCAGUAGGGACUCUAUGUGGGGGCUCCGACCCCACAUUUCCCUUCUGCACUGCCCUAGUAGAGUUUCUCCAUGAGUGCCCUGCCCCUGCAGCAAACUCCUGCCUGGGUAUCUAGGAAUUUCCAUACACCUUCUGAAAUCUAGGCAGCAGUUCCCAAACCUCAAUUUUUGACUUCUGUGCACCCACAGGCUCAACACUAUGUGGAAGCUGCUAAGGCUUGGGGCUUGCACCCUCUGAAGCCACAGCCCAAGUUGUACCUUGGCUCCUUUUAGCUGCAGCUGGAGUGGCUAGGACUCAGGCACCCUAGGCUGCUCACAACAGGGGUCCCUGGGUCUAGCCCACAAAACCAUCUUUUCUUCCUAGGCCUCUGGACCUUUGAUGGGAGGGGCUGCCAUGAAGACCUGUGACAUGCCCUGGAGACAUUUUCCCCAUUGUCUUGGGGAUUCACAUUUGACUCCUCGUUACUUAAACAAACUUCUGCAGCCAGAUCGAAUUUUUCUUGAGAAAAUGGGAUUUUCUUUUCUAUUGCAUUGUCAGGCUGCAGAUUUUCCAAACUUUCAUGCUCUGCUUCCCUCAUAAAACUGAAGGCCUUUAACAGCACCCAAGUCAUCUCUUGAAUGCUUUGCUGCUUAGAAAUUUCUUCUAUCAGAUACCCUAAAUCUCAAGUUCAAAUACCCUAUCAGUUACCCUAAAUCUCUCAAGUUCAAAAUUCCACAAAUCUCUACAGCAGGGGCAAAAAGCCACCAGUCUCUUUGCUAAAACAUAACAGGAGUCACCAUUGUGCCAGUUCCUAACAAGUUCCUCAUUUCCAUCUGAGACAACCUAAGCCUAGACUUUAUUGUCCAUAUAACAAUCAGCAUUUUGGGCAAGUCUCUAGGAAAUCUCUUCCAAAUUUUCCCACAUUUUCCUGUCUCCUUCUGAGCCCUCCAAACUGUUCCAACCUCUGCCUGUUUCCCAGUUCCAAAGUCACUUCCACAUAUUCAGGUAUCUUUUAGCAACACCCCACUUCUGGUACUAAUUUACUGUAUUAGUCCAUUUUCACACAGCUGAUAAAGACACAUUCAAGACUGGGAAAUUUACAAAAGAAAGAGGCUUAAUGGACUUACAGUUCUACAUUGCUGGGGAGGCUUCAAAAUCAUUGCGGAAGUCAAGGAGAGGCAAGUCACAUCUUACAGGGAUGGCAGCAGGCAAAGAGAGAGCUUGAGCAGGGAAACUCCUCCUUUUAAAACCAUCAGAUCUCAUGAGACUUAUUCACUAUUAAAAGAAUAGCAUGGGAAAUACCUGCCUCCAUGAUUCAACUACUUCCCAUUGGGUCCCUCCCACAACACAUGGGAAUUCAAGAUGAGAUCUGAGUGGGGACACAGCCAAACCAUAUCAAAAGGAUAUACAAAAUAACCAGAAAACAAUGAACAAAAUGACAGGAAUAAAUCCUCGCCUAUCAAUAAUAACUUCGAAUAUGGGUUAAAUUACCUACCUAAAAGAUACAGUCAGGCUUAAUGGAUAAAAAGUGACCCAACAUCACUUCCCUUGUAAAGACACACACAGACUGAAAGUGAAGGGAUGGAAAAAGAUAUACCACACAAACAGAAAUCAAAAAUAAUCAGGAGUAGCUAAACUUACAUCAGAUAAAACAGACUUUAAGUCAAAAACUGUAAAAAGGACAAACAAGAUCAUUAUAUGGUAAUAAAGGGAUCAAUUCAGCAACAAAGUAUAACAAUUCCAAAUAUGCAUGCAACCAACACAAGCGCAUCCAGAGACAUAUAGCAAAUAUUAUUAAAUCUACAUGGAGAGAUAGAGUCCAAUAAAAUGAUAGUUGAGAACUUCAAUAUCCUACUCUCAGCAUUGGACAGUUCAUCUAGACAUAAAAUCAACAAAGAAACAUUAGAUUUAAGCUGCACUUUGGACCAAAUGGACCUAACAGAUAUUUUCAGAAUAGUUCAUCCAGCAGCAGCAGAAUAUACAAUCAUCUCAUCAACACAUGGAAUAUUCUCCAGGAUAGACCAUAUGUUAGGACACAGAACAAGGCUCAAUAAAAUUUUAAAAAUUAAAAUCAUAUCAAGUAUCUUCUCAGACCACAAAGGAAUAAAACUUGAAAUCAAUAAGAAGAAGAAAUUUGGAAACUGUACAAAUAUAUGGACAUUAAACAUGCUAUUGAAUAAUCAUUGGGUCAAUGAAGAAAUUAAGAUGGACAUCAAAAAAAUUUUUUAAACAGAAAAUGGAAACACAUCAUGCAAAACCUAUGGGAUACAGCAAAAGCAGUACUAGGAGGAAAGUUUAUAGCAAUAAAUGCCUACACUAAAAAAGUAGAAAGAUUUCAAAUAAACAACCUAAUGAUGCACCUCAAGGAACUCAAAAAGCAAGAACAAAUCAAACACACAAUUAGUAGAAAGAAAAAAUAUAAAUAACAUAGCAGAACCAAAUGCAACAGAGACAAAAAAAAAUGCAAAGAAUCAACAAGAUAAAAGUUGGUUUUUUGAAAAGUUAAACAAAAUUGAUAAACCACUAGUGAGGCUAACCAAAAAAAAAAAAAAGAGACCAAAAUAAAUACAAUCAGAAAUGAAAAAGGAGACAUUACAAGUGUUACCAAAGAAAUAAAAAGGAUAAUUAGAGGCUAUUAUGAACAAUCAUAUGCUAACAAAUUGGAAAACCUAGAGGAAAGGGAUAAAUUCCCAGACAUACACAGCCUACCAAGGUUGAACUAGGAAGAAACAGAAAACGUGAACUGACCCAAAAUGAAUAGCAGGUUUGAAUCAGUAACAAAAUGUCUCCCAAAGGAGAAAAGCCCUAGACUAGGCUUUUAUGCUGAUUUCUACCCAAUUUAUAAAGAAAAACAAACACCAAUUCUUCUCAAACUAUUCCCAAAAAUUGAAGAGGAAGGAAUUCUUCCUAACUCAUUGUAUAAGGCCAGCAUUACCCUGAUAUCCAAUCAAGACAAGGACACAACAAAAGGAGAAAACUACAGGCCAAUAUUCCUAAUGAACACAGAUGGUAAAAUUCUCAGCAUAAUACUACCAAGCCAAAUCUAAUGAUGAAUGAAAAAGAUAAUAUACCAUGAUCAAGUGGGAUUUAUCCCAGGAAUGCAAAGGUGGCUCAACAUACACAAAUCAAUACAUGUGAUACAUCACAUUGACAAGAUGAAAGGCAAAAACUAUCUGAUCAUCUCAGCAGAUGCAGAAAAAUCACUCAGUAAAACUUACCAUUCCUUCAUGAUGAAAACUCUCAACAAAUUAAGCAUAGAAGGAACACUUCAACCUAAGAAAAGGCAUAUAUGACAAAUCUACAGCUAACAUCCUACUCACUGGGAAAAAUUGAAAAGCCUUUCCUCUAAGAACUGGAACAAGAGAAGGAUGCCCACUUUCACCACUCUUAUUCAACACAGUAUGGGACAUCCAAGCCAGAGUGAUCAGACAAGAUAAAGAAAAAAAAGGCAUCCAAAUGGACAAAAGGAAGUCCAAUUGUCUCACUUUGCAAAUGACAUAAUCGUAUACCUGUAAACAGAAAAACCUAAAGACUCUACCAAAAAACUCUUAAAAUAAAUUAGGCUGGGCAUGGUAGCUCAUGCCUGUAAUCCCAGCACUUUGGGAGACCAAGGUGGAUGGAUCACCUGAGGUUGGGGGUUUGAGACCAGCCUGGCCAACAUGGUGAAACCCUGUCUCUACGAAAAAUACAAUUAGCCAGGCAUGGUGGUAGGUGCCUGUAAUCCCAGCUACUUGGGAGGCUGAAGCAGGAGAAUCGCUUGAAACCGAGAAGUGGAGGUUGCAGUGAGCCAAGAUUGCACCACUGCACUCCAGCCUGGAAAACAGAGUGAGACUCUCUCACAAAAUAAAAAAUAAAAAAUAAAAAACAUUUUUAAAAAAGGAUGUAUAAUUCAGUAAAGCUUCAGGACACAAAAUCAACAUACAAAAAUCAGUAAUGUUUCUAUAUACCAGUAACAAACUAGCUAAAAUAGAAAUCAAGGAAGAAAUUCUAUUUACAAUAGCUACAAAAAUAAAAUACCUAGGAAUAAACUUAACCAAGGAUGAGGAAAAAAAAAACCCAAAAAACCUCUACAAUGAAAACCACAAAACACUGAUAAAAUAAACUGAGAAGGACACAAACAAAUGGAAAGGCAUCUUAUGCUCGUGGGUUGGAGUAACUAAUACUGUUAAAAUGACCAUACUACCCGAAGCAAUCUAGAGAUUCAGUACAAUCCCUAUCAAUUAUAUUCUUCACAGAAACAGGAAAAAAAAAAACCCUGAAAUUCAUAUGGAACCACAGAAGACCCCAAAUAGCCAGAGCAAUACUGAGCAAAAAGAACAAAGCUAGAAGCCUCACACUACCUGAUUUAAAAAUAUACUGCAAAGAGGCCGGGCGAGGUGGCUCAAGCCUAUAUCCCAGCACUUUGAGAGGCCAAGGCGGGUGGAUCACAAGGUCAGGAGAUCGAGACCAUCCUGGCUAACAUGGUGAAACCCCGUCUCUAAUAAUAAUAAAAAAAAAAUUAGCCAGGCGUGGUGGCGGGCAUCUGUAGUCCCAGCAGCUACUCGGGAGGCUGAGGCAGGAGAAUGGCAUGAACCCGGGAGGAAGAGCUUGCAGUGAGCAGAGAUCACACCACUGCACUCCAGCCUGGGCGACAGAGCAAGACUCCAUCUCAAAAAGAAAAAAAAAAAAAAAUAUAUAUAUAUAUAUAUAUAUAUAUAUAUGUGUGUGUGUGUGUAUAAAUAUAUUUGUAUAUAUAUGUAUAUAUAUACGUAUAUGUGUGUGUAUAUACGUAUAUAUGUAUGUACG
rnacentral:lncRNA from 1 species